rnacentral:rRNA from 1 species
UACGAAGGGGGCUAGCGUUGCUCGGAAUCACUGGGCGUAAAGCGCACGUAGGCGGAUUGCUAAGUCAGAGGUGAAAUCCUGGAGCUCAACUCCAGAACUGCCUUUGAUACUGAUAGUCUUGAGUAUGGGAGAGGUGAGUGGAACUGCGAGUGUAGAGGUGAAAUUCGUAGAUAUUCGCAAGAACACCAGUGGCGAAGGCGGCUCACUGGCCCAUUACUGACGCUGAGGCACGAAAGCGUGGGGAGCAAACAGG